AGCGCACAAGCUGUAACAGGCCAAAAUAUUCUACAUUCUUCAGGUUCAACUCAUGAUUCGGUUCUUCAAAAGGGAAAUGGAGGUGAUCAAAUUUGAAGGGUCGCUACAAGUCAAUUUGAUCUCAUUGAAGUGGCUGAUGAAGAGUUUUUGAACUAUUGUAAAAGUUUGAAUACAUUAUGUUUGAUUUUGCGAAAUAUAUUCUUUGCUAGAAUAUAUUGAACUAUUGUAAGAGUACUUUUUGAA